GAAUCUUGCGCAAUGGGCGAAAGCCUGACGCAGCGACGCCGCGUGUGGGAUGACGGUCUUCGGAUUGUAAACCACUGUCGGGAGGGCCGAAGCUCUGACGGUACCUCCAGAGGAAGCACCGGCUAACUCUGUCCCAGCCGCCGCGGUAAUACAGAGGGUGCGAGCGUUGUCCGGAAUUACUGGGCGUAAAGGGCGCGUAGGCGGCUUGGUAAGUAGGGGGUGAAAUCUUGCGGCUCAACUGCAAGGCUGCCUCCUAGACUGCCGGGCUUGAGCACGGUAGAGGCAGAUGGAAUUCCCGGUGUAGCGGUGGAAUGCGUAGAGAUCGGGAAGAACAUCGGUGGCGAAGGCGAUCUGCUGGGCCGUUGCUGACGCUGAGGCGCGACAGCGUGGGGAGCAAACAGG
rnacentral:rRNA from 1 species